UACAGCAUCCUGCUCUCGGCAGCAGAGGCGAUGCUCAAAUUGAACUGGGCACAAAAGUGGAUGUGGCUCAAUUCCGAGUGGUAUGAUGACAAGGAAGUUUGCAUUUGUCAAUACUCAGGAGGGCAUGACACCAGGAAGAUCAUGAGAGGUUUUCUGGAGUUCCGACCAGCCCACACCGUGCUGGUGGCAAGCUUGUAUGAUGGUUGCAAAUGUUGGUUUAGUGGCCCAUCAUGUGGAUCACAAUCCUGGCCAUUAGACUGCUGCACGUUUCUCCCAUUGGAUUUUGGACCCUUGUUCAUAUUAUUGCUCAACUGUGGAUUAACAAUCCAUUUAUACCACAGUGAUCCAGUGACUACCAUAAUCUCAUUGCCCCAACUCAUGUACAAUGCCGCAUACCAGAUUGGUUGAUGUUGUUUUUUCAGUCACUGGGAAUUCAAUGAAGUGUGCACAUCUUAGUAACA